CCAGUCUGAGUUCUCUGCAUAAGCAUAUGAAAAUCCAUCAUGUUCAGCAAAAUGCCUUGGUGUUUCUUAAUGUAAGCAAGUAAAAAAAACCAAACAAACCAGACCAUAAAUACUGUACCAUACAACAAUGCCCAGCUAACAGCACAUGAGGUAGAUUCUUCAACACCAGAAUUAAAUUGGGUAAAUUCCUUACUACCAUGUCCAUCCUGCUUCCAUGUGGCUUCCACUACUUUUAACACUUUUGCUUACUUGAAGGAAUAUACAGGAUGAUCCACAGAUAAGGAAUCUACAGUCGGCAAAUGGAAGAGGGUGACGGCGCUAGAAACUCAGUUGAGCAGCCCCAAACUAUCCAGAAUGUACACAUAGUAACAACACAGGAAGGGCAGUCUACUCAUCCUUCUGGGAGCCGGAGAACUGCUGCCGAACACCCGGCCGUGGAUUCCCCAUUGCUACCCCAGGUUCCUGUAGGCGAGAAUGUUACUGGGGAGCGAGCGCAAUGCUCUGCGAGAGGAGAACCAGCUAUACAUCUUCCCCCACCCAUUCAGGAUUCGACGCUGGCAACAUGUCAGCACAUUGUUGGUCUCCUUGGACAAAUCACUGAUCAGCAGGACAGCAUCAUGAGAGAACUGCGGGUCAUGCGCAGAGAGAUGCGGCUUUUGAAAGGUGAACAGCGCCGGACCACUGCCAG
rnacentral:lncRNA from 1 species